rnacentral:rRNA from 1 species
GUCUGUGGCCAUACCACCCUGAACAUGCCCGAUCUUAUCUGAUCUUGGAAGCUAAGCAGGGUCUGGCCUGGUUAGUACUUGGAUGGGAGAUCACCUGGGAAUACUGGGUGUUGCAGGCU